rnacentral:ncRNA from 2 species
AUCUUAUCAAGAGCAGGCGGAGGGAUGAGCCCUAUGAAGCCCGGCAACCGACUUUUUUAAGCACGGUGCUAAUUCUCACAGCAGUCAUGCUGAAAGAUAAGAA